AUUUCAAAGAUGUGAUUGCUUAUCUUUAGAUUGACAUUGUAGGGUAGGUGUGAGAAGCAGGAUCUGGCCACUUUGAAUGUAAAAGCAGGUAGAAUAUUUGGGUCGGAUAUAUAUAUAUAUAUAUAUAUAUAGCCUGCUGAAAUGCAAAAGGAAGAAAUGUCAGGAACAGAAUAACAUUGUAGUGUAGGUGUGACAAGCAAGAUCUGGCUAGUUUGAAUGUAAAAACAGGUAGAAUAUUUGGGCUGGAAACAGCUGGCUGAAAUGCAGAAGGUUAACUUGAAAGGAAAGAAAAGACAAAAGAAUCGUGUUGUUUAUUAAUUAAUAGUUUUUAGAUAGUAGGUAGAUAGCCAAUCAUACAUUUUGUUUUUCUCUACAAAAACCAUAACCACUACCAAUAGCAGCUGUGUCUAGUAGAAAAUAUUUCUAAAUAUAUUUUUUUUUUUUCGUCCAAUGAGAAAAAAAAAGCAUAGCUGAUUGUAGUAAUGAAUUGGGCUUCCAGUUGAUGGCUUUUGUGUUCUCAUUGAUUACAAGGGCUGUUGCUGUGCCAUCAGGGCCAGGCACUGACGUCUGUGUUGCUUUCUCUCUUAGGCUUCAUUGACUCCAAAAGAUUAAGCUUUAAAACAAAAUUUAGACCAUGUGUAAGUCGUAUGCGUGUGCACUAGGCAUAGCCAAUGGUUAAGGAGUUCAUUUGACUGUCAUGAAGCCCUAGAUGGAAUUUUGUGUGUCUUUUACCAUAAGUCUUGUGAAUGAAAUUCAUUCAAAUUUUGUGAAUGAUUGACUCAAGAUUUUAUUGAAGGAAAUUUUAAAGAACUGGCACUAUGUCAGUUAUGGCGAUUUGAUCCCAGUUGAUUUGGCCAACGGAACAGUCUGCAAGAGACUGAGCACUUCCCAAACGUGUACCCAUAACGUAGUUCUCAGGGAGAUUCAGUGUGACACAGAAUGUGUAAUGGCUGGCCCUUUGAAUUAAAGGCACAACCCACUUUCACCAGCUGAGUGGACUUUGGCAAUGAGAAAUAAAGUGUCUUGCCCAAAGACAUCAUGUACCACUGUGAAUUGAACUCAUGACCUUGUGAUCAUGAACCAAAUACCCCUAACCACUAAGGCAGAUUAGGUAAACUGUGAAGGACUUUUGAAUGGAUUAAGCCUGAACAUCGAAGGUUAAGCUUUGUUACACAUUGUAUUCUGCUAUAAUUCUAUCUGAGGAUUAUAUUAAUGGUAUACACUAAGGAAUACUCAACCACUAUCUCUGUAAAUCAUUUAUUAGGCAGUUUAGUUGAGUGAAUAUCUGGAAUUGCCAAAACCAACAAAUGAUCUAGUCUCUAGUUGCGCCAUAUAUAUAUAUAUAUAUAUAUACACACACACAUAUGUAUAUAUAGGAUAUGAGGGGUUUAGUUCACUGAUGAUCUAACAUGAUUAGGUAGGCUGUGUAAGUGCUAUAAUUGGUUAUCCGUUAGAUUCCAAGUUCACAUCUGAGGCUGGAACUAGGGAUCUGUAGAAGGCUUCCCAGUUAGCACUUUCCUCUAAGAUAUAUAUAUAUAUAUAUAUAUAUAUAUAUAUAUAUAUGUAUAUAUAAUGUGUGUGUGUAUUGUGUAUGUAUGCAUUUGGUGGUUUGUUUUCCCUUUUUUUUUCUAAAUGAUGCUAUUCUUUUACACUGCCUUUUUUUGUUUUUUUAAAAAAAUGUUUAUUUAAAUGUUUGCCAUUUAUUUUUCCAUCCUGUUAUUUUACAUCAAUGUAAAAUACUUAUUUAUCUAUUCUGGUCAUGAUUUUUUGAGAGUUUUAAUUUUAACUUAUUUUAUCAUCACCAUCAUCUUCAUUUUAAAAAACCACUUUUCCAUGCUUGCAUGGGUCGGACUAAGUUUUAUUGAGGCAGAUUUUUUUAUUUGAUCGUUUUUUUUUUUGUUUUUUUUUUUAUAAAAGCCAUUUGUCUGGCACCAUUUUUACCCAUUCUUAGCCAGCUGUGAAGUGCUUACAUCAGUAAUUAUAUUGCGGUUUCUAACCACAAAACGAAUUAAACAAUAUACUGUAAUAUGAAAGAAAAAAAAACUAAUGAAAUUCUGAUAAAACUAAAUCAUCUCUG